ensembl:lncRNA
GAAAGAGAGACGAGGCACGUGAUUCCUGACGCACGUAGGCCGGUGGGGCGGGGCGGGAAGCGCUGGCGGUGCCGGCAGAUGGGCGCCCUCUCCCGUCUUUCAGAGACCACUCAGUCCAGUCAAGUCUGCAAGUCGGUUAUCUUGGGGGCUCUGGCGGUCGAAGUGGCGUUAACUCGCGUUGGUGCGAGAGAAAUUCUUUGCUGGCCAAAUCUCUUGCUGGCCAAUGAUCAACUCUUUCCAAGCUGAGUUUUCUUUACUGUUAUACAGGACUAUCAUGAAGAUGCAUUGAAAGUUACACACACUGGAGGAGUGUGAUAUCCCUUUCAGUUGGUAAUCUUCCUGUCGUGAAAGUUGCUUGCCAGCUUUACUUUUGAAUGAACACAGUAAACACCAAGCUCUUCUCAGGAUUGAGAUAUGGAAAGAUCCUUCUGUCCUUUACCACACAGUUCCUUUGUCAGGAAUUCCAGGAUUUCCUCCAAGUUUGCAAGUGGCGCUAGUGGAUAAAGAACCUGCUUGCCAAUGCAGAAGACGCAAGAGACACAAGUUCUGUCCCUAAGUCAGGAAGAUCCCCUGGAGGAAGAAAUGGCAAUCUACUCCAGUAUUCUUGCCCUGAGAAUACCAUGGACAUAGGAGCCUAAUGGGCUACACUCCCUGGGAUUGCAGAGAGUUGGACAGACUGAAGUGACUUAGCAUGCACGCAAUCACGAGUGUUUGUGAUUUUUCUCCUUAAUCAGGAGUUAAUUUUCAAAUCGUUAAGAGGUAAGAAGAAGAGGUUCCAGGGAAGAAAACUGAGAACUGAUUGAGAAGUAUGAAGAGGAUGGAGUGCAGAAGAUGGGGAGAAGCAUGUUCAGUCGAGUGUGAUAAUCCCUAUUGCCCAAAGUGUCAGGAGUUGAGUCGGAGUAACUGAAGCUGACAAGUCUGUUGAUGAUAGGUAAUCUGGAGGAGGAAAGCAGUAUCAAGAUACAAGUCUGAGAAAACUCAGGUCUCAAGAAAUUGUGCCAUCAAAGGGAGAAGAGAACUGUGGCAGCAAGUAAAAUCUUUUAUGAAGAUUGAUGGUGAAGGCUAAUUGAAAAUGCCAGUGUUGGAACCCCACCCCCCUCCUCCUUCCCAUUCAUCCUGAGCCCAAGAGAUCUCCAUAAAAUUGACCUGGAUGCCUUUCAUUCAAGGUUCUGACACCUAGUAGAUGCUCAUGAAUAUUUGUUGAAUGAAGGACUGAAGAUAGAAGAGAGACAGAUGAAAUGAGAUCAUGAGUCGCUUCAGUCAUGUCCGACUCUGUGUGACCCCAGAGACGACAGCCCACCAGGCUCCCCCAUCCCUGGGAUUCUCCAGGCAAGAACACUGGAGUGGGUUGCCAUUUCCUUCUCCAAUGCAUGAAAGUGAAAAGUGAAAGUGAAGUUGCUCAGUCAUGUCCGACUCUUAGCGACCCCAUGGACUGCAGCCUACCAGGCUCCUCCGUCCAUGGGAUUUUCCAGUCUAGGCUUCCCUUGUGGCUCAGCUGGUAAAGAAUCUGCCUGCAAUGCGGGAGACCUGCAUUCGAUCCCUGGAUUGGGAAGACCCCUUGAAGAAGGGAAAGGCUACCCAUGUUAGUAUUCUGGCCUGGAGAAUUCCAAUGGACUUUACAGUCCAUGGGGUUGCAAAGAGUUGGACAUGACUGAGCAACUUUCACUUUCAUUCUAGUUUACUAUGAAAUGAAACAUUCUGAAAUUAUUUUCACGUUCAGUUUAUCCUGAACUACUCUUUUGCUAUAUCAAUUUAUCUAGGGAAAGACAGUCUCAUUUGUGAGUUUUUUAAGUUCAAGUUAACUAUUGGUUUGCAUAAUCCCGUCUAGUCAAGGCUAUGGUUUUUCCUGUGGUCAUGUAUGGAUGUGAGAAUUGGACUGUGAAGAAGGCUGAGCACCGAAGAACUGAUGCUUUUGAACUGUGGUGUUGGAGAAGACUCUUGAGAGUCCCUUGGACUGCAAGGAGAUCCAACCAGUCCAUUCUGAAGGAGAUCAGCCCUGGGAUUUCUUUGGAGGGAAUUAUGCUGAAGCUGAAACUCCAGUACUUUGGCCACCUCAUGUGAAGAGUUGACUCAUUGGAAAAGACUCUGAUGCUGGGAGGGAUUGGGGGCGGGAGGAGAAGGGGACGACAGAGGAUGAGAUGGCUGGAUGGCAUCACUGACUCGAUGGAUGUGAGUCUGAGUGAACUCCGGGAGUUGGUGAUGGACAGGGAGGCC